GAUCAAGAAAGAAAGAAAUCGGAUUUAGAUCGGGGGAAAUCGAAAGUUGACGAGUAGUCGAUCCGAUCUGUUCAUAGUAUAUACGAGAUUAUCGAAGCUAGUUUGGACUCGAGAAUCAUCGGGAAACGUCUUCACACUAUCGAUCAUUUUGUUGGUACUUUUGAAGCUUUGUAUAUAUGGUAUAUGACAUGUAUAGGCUAAUGAACUUUUGGUAUGUUUUGAAUUGUAAUUCUAGCCAUGUGAGUUGGCUUGAAAAUGAUAUAUCUUGUGUGAUGGAUGGGAGCAAUUCGGUUUGUGUGAUGAUAAGAUGCUGUCUAAAUUGGUGCUUAA